UUCGCCGAGGGGCGCUGCGACCGCCAUGAUCAAGUGCGGCCAGGCUCGGCGCGGCUUCACGUACAACGGCGCCCGGUUGUU
rnacentral:ncRNA from 2 species